rnacentral:pre_miRNA from 1 species
AAAAAGACAAACCCUGAGUUUCCGUGUUCAACAUUUGACUGUAUGUCUUAUAUAAAUUUUUUUUAUAAUUAGUAUUUUUAUUGUUGUUAGAUGGUAAAACAUAAUUAAUACUUUAUACGUGACUUAUUUUUUUAAUUUUUUUAUAUUUUUUUCAAAUAAGACGGACGGUCAAAUAUUGGACACGGAAACC